ACAUACGGCCACAACUACCCGAGAAAUCUGGAUCCCGUCCGAUCUCCGAUCGAUAAAGAGAUGAGCGCCGCAAUAGGGCCGUCGGAGACGACCAGUGAACUCCUGGCGUCGUAUGUA
rnacentral:rRNA from 1 species